GGUCUGAUGGCGCAAUGGCCGCGCGUUGCUUUCCGGUUAGGAAUAUGGCAAAGGUUCUGGGUUCGAAUCCCAGUUGGAUCG